CCUACGGGCGGCAGCAGUGGGGAAUAUUGCACAAUGGGCGCAAGCCUGAUGCAGCCAUGCCGCGUGUGUGAAGAAGGCCUUCGGGUUGUAAAGCACUUUCAGCGGGGAGGAAGGCGUUAAGGUUAAUAACCUUGGCGAUUGACGUUACCCGCAGAAGAAGCACCGGCUAACUCCGUGCCAGCAGCCGCGGUAAUACGGAGGGCGCAAGCGUUAAUCGGAAUUACUGGGCGUAAAGCGCACGCAGGCGGUCUGUCAAGUCGGAUGUGAAAUCCCCGGGCUCAACCUGGGAACUGCAUUCGAAACUGGCAGGCUAGAGUCUUGUAGAGGGGGGUAGAAUUCCAGGUGUAGCGGUGAAAUGCGUAGAGAUCUGGAGGAAUACCGGUGGCGAAGGCGGCCCCCUGGACAAAGACUGACGCUCAGGUGCGAAAGCGUGGGGAGCAAACAGGAUUAGAUACCCUUGUAGUC
rnacentral:rRNA from 1 species